CGACCGGCGCACGGGUGAGUAACGCGUAUGCAACCUGCCUGAUACCGGGGUAUAGCCCAUGGAAACGUGGAUUAACACCCCAUAGUACUCUUAUCCCGCAUGGGAUGUGAGUUAAAUGUUCAAGGUAUCGGAUGGGCAUGCGUCCUAUUAGUUAGUUGGCGGGGUAACAGCCCACCAAGACGAUGAUAGGUAGGGGUUCUGAGAGGAAGGUCCCCCACAUUGGAACUGAGACACGGUCCAA
rnacentral:rRNA from 1 species